UGAGAACUUAGAAGAACUGCAUUUAACUGCAGUCCAUCAACGAAUAGAAAGCAAAAAUUAAAAUGCAAAACCAUUUGUUUUGAGAAAUUGCUGUCUGCUGUUUUGACUACGAUAAGACUGGUGAAAUGAUGCCACUUACAGUGCCGUGAAAAAAAGCUCUCAACUGACUCACAAUAAAAAACAAAAUGUUGCUUAACGUUUUCCACUGCCACCACCAAGCUUAGGUCCUUUCGAUCCACCCUUGGAUACAUUACCCUUACCUCCAGCUUUUUG
rnacentral:misc_RNA from 1 species